GUAGCGGUGAAAUGCGUAGAUAUAUGGAAGAACACCAGUGGCGAAGGCGGCUGUCUGGUCUGUAACUGACGCUGAGGCUCGAAAGUAUGGGUAGCAAACAGGAUUAGAUACCCUGGUAGUCCAUACCGUAAACGAUGAAUGCUAAGUGUUGGAGGGUUUCCGCCCUUCAGUGCUGCAGCUAACGCAUUAAGCAUUCCGCCUGGGGAGUACGGCCGCAAGGCUGAAACUCAAAGGAAUUGACGGGGGCCCGCACAAGCGGUGGAGCAUGUGGUUUAAUUCGAAGCUACGCGAAGAACCUUACCAGGUCUUGACAUACUAUGCAAAUCUAAGAGAUUAGACGUUCCCUUCGGGGACAUGGAUACAGGUGGUGCAUGGUUGUCGUCAGCUCGUGUCGUGAGAUGUUGGGUUAAGUCCCGCAACGAGCGCAACCCUUAUUAUCAGUUGCCAGCAUUAAGUUGGGCACUCUGGUGAGACUGCCGGUGACAAACCGGAGGAAGGUGGGGAUGACGUCAAAUCAUCAUGCCCCUUAUGACCUGGGCUACACACGUGCUACAAUGGAUGGUACAACGAGUUGCGAACUCGCGAGAGUAAGCUAAUCUCUUAAAGCCAUUCUCAGUUCGGAUUGUAGGCUGCAACUCGCCUACA
rnacentral:rRNA from 2 species